rnacentral:rRNA from 1 species
UACGUAGGGUGCGAGCGUUGUCCGGAAUUACUGGGCGUAAAGAGCUCGUAGGUGGUUUGUCGCGUUGUCCGUGAAAACUCACAACUCAAUUGUGGGCGUGCGGGCGAUACGGGCAGACUGGAGUACUGCAGGGGAGACUGGAAUUCCUGGUGUAGCGGUGAAAUGCGCAGAUAUCAGGAGGAACACCGGUGGCGAAGGCGGGUCUCUGGGCCGAUACUGACGCUGAGGAGCGAAAGCGUGGGGAGCAAACAGG